rnacentral:tRNA from 1 species
CAUAGCUCAGUUGGUAGAGCAUUACACUUUUAAUGUAAGGGUCACGAGUUCGAAUCUCGUUG